UUUUGAAGAGCCCGCCUGGAAGGGGAAACGCCGCUCGCCAGCUGUUUGCUCUGAGUGCUCUACAAAUAGCGCGGCGUCAAAAACUGGGUCUCCCCCCAAUUUCCACCAGCGGACGAGGCGAGCGUUCAACUCCGAGGUAGGAGCCUUCUCUCAUCUGUUUCUCUCCCCCCUUUCAUUUCUUCUCUCUUUCUCUUUCGUCUCCGGCUUUUUGGUUCAAUCCAUCUUCCAUCCAUUGUUUAAUUAUGCUCAAAUGCUUGUUUUAUCUAUUUUGGAUCAAGAAAUUAG
rnacentral:lncRNA from 1 species